GCCCCCUCAGGGUCGCACCUGGAGAGUUUCCAGUACUCUACCAGCCUCGACUACGGGAGGGAGAGACAAGCAGAGACAUACCCAUUCCAUUCCUAGCUGGGGCAGGGGCUAACGAGUAGAAGGCAAUCUGCUACAAGU